CUGCUUCUACCUAAAGAAUGCAUUAAAGUAGAAUCUUUCAUACUUACAAGUUGAAAAUGACAAUUUCGUCCACGGCUUAUAUAACAUAAAUUUAGUUUUGUUCUAAGAAUUUAACUUUCAUAGCUGUCAACUUCACUUUAGGAAAAACCUUGAGAAAAUACAGUGAAUGUAUCAGAAGUACCAAGAUGCAGGAGAAUACAGUAAAUGUAUGGAUAUUUUCAACAAAUUAGGCUUGGGAAAAGGUUCGAAAUCUUUGCCUGAUCAUUAUCCUAUUUUAGUCAAAAAAGGGUAGCACUGCACCCAUGUAUUUAAAUCCUCUGAUGUUGUUACUAUAACAGGUAUAUUAUAAUCUGCAAUAUUUACCUUGACGGUCCGUGUGAAGCUGGCGAGCUGACACUACGAAAAGCCAAGGGCAUAAUUUCGUACACCGGCGGGGACUGAGCCCCACUCAGAGUAACAAUCUGAUGCAAAUUUAGUAAGCUGAGAUCUGUUAGAUAGGAAAUCUAUUAUCCAAUUAACAAUACUAGCUGGAAGAUUGCACUGGCUACGUAACUUUGUAUCAAGUAUACUAUGAUCUAUAAGAUCAAAAGCUUUACGAUAGUCCAAUAAUAGAGUUCUCACAGCGGCUCCAUUACCAUCAGUACUUGUCGACCAGUGAUGUAACAUGUUGAUCAGCGCCAUCGUAUUUGAUGAUUGUGGGAUAGCACCAUACCCUCAGAUACUUUAGAAGAGAGAGAGAGAGAGAGAUGCCUUUUUUAAUGAGGGAUUCACUUAAUAUCACAAUGAUAAUGUACGCAUGGCCCUAGAAACUACAGGCGUCAGUGAUAUUGGCCUUAGUUCUUUCUGGAGGUCAACUACUUGUUUCUUUUUGGGUAGAGGAGUUACGUCGGCCAUCUUCCAAAUGGAGGGAAGGCGCUGCUCUGCAUAAGAGGUGUUCAGGAUAUCGGUGAUGGGAUACGACACAAGAUCAGAGUAUUCCUUAAGCAGCCAGUUGGGUAUUCUAUCCGGACCGCAGGCCUUUCUUGGGUUCAGUCUUUCUAACGCCUUCUGCACACGUCAGACGUCACACGUCAGACACUGUCAGAAACAGGGGAGAGUGGAACUCCAGUGAUACCCGCUCAAGAGGAAUGGGUAACUUGUACUCUUCCAAUGGCUCGAGCAGGGUUGAAUUGGUGGCAUUUGCUUGUUCGCUGGGAGGCAUGUUCUUCGAUAUUCCUUCGAUGUUGAUCUGGCUAGCCAGAUACAGUACAAUUCUACGAGAAAAGCCCAGACGUCACCCUCGACCGCAUGCCCCUCUGUCCAGCCUGUCUUUGAAGGGUAAAGUAAAGCUGAAGCAUCACUCUCUGCCACUUUGCAUUUCCUUCGGCAAAACCGUUGAAUCAGGGGCCACCAAAAAUUCCCUUGGAUAGUUGUCGAUGAAUAUAUCCGUGCAUGAUUGUGUGUUGCCUUUCAGGAACUCCAGCACUGGGCCUAUCAACGUGUACUCGGAGGAAAAACGUAAGGGCGCUUCAUCUCUUCGAGGACCAAGUCAUGUCCUACGCAAACACGUUUACUCCGAGUGAACCCGGAACGUGUAUGGUGUGAAGUGCGGGAUGGUUUCCCCGCAUUUUCCGUCAUGGUGUUAGAAUCUAGCAGGAGUGUAGGUCGAUGUCUCUUGUUGUACCAGCUUCCACACUCUAGACGCUAGUUUGCGAUCCCCUGCUGACAAUCUACGCGAUGGGGUGUCAGCUGGAUUGAUGAGAGUCGGAACAUAGCGGAGCUGUACAUUUAAUUCGAUUGUCGAGAAGAACAGUUCUUUAAGAGCCACGUUGAGGGCGUGGCUACGACUCCCUUGGUUACUCCAAGCAUAGACGACCGCUUGGUUAUCCACCAACAUUCCAACACGUGCGUUUCUCAAAUGACUGCUAAAUGCGCGCAAAACAUGAUUGACCGCUCUAGCUUCCUAGGUUGCAAUGUCGAGGGGCAUUUCCUCCACUCCGCUGUCCAGUAGUCGGACGUCUCCAGGAGAGGGGUAAGUAAUAAGACGACUCCACCCCAACCAGAGAGAGAGGUGCCGACGCCAGUUGCACCUGCCUCUCAUCACGCCAUGGCAGUGGUUCAUCCCAUCAUUCAAGGAAUAACCAGUGGCUAUUUCCUCUCUUUCUGGGCGUCAAGAAGGACUUCGAUAGUCCCAAGAAAUAUCCAAGCCGUAGCAAGUGGAAAGCCAAUUGGAAAAUCGCCGACUGAGCCACCGCCAAGUCUCGUUGUUGAUUAGUACCCAGGCUCUCGUACGCUCCCGAUCAAGGCGGAUUCUAAAUUUGCCAUUGUGUCUGUCAUCGAUGUACAGUAGACACGGGAUCCCGAGUGAUCUGAAGUAAUUAGAUGCCAAAAGUAUCGUGGUGUGGUACACAUAUGGUGAGUUCCAACCAAACGGAUUGUAUUGUAUACAAAGUAUCACCCGCCCCACUGGAUGCCAAAGAAGCGGCGACUGGCCUCGGUUGGGAAGAGGUGAUCGUAGCCGGAUUUGUCGUCGAGAACAGUUUGAAAGGCAUCCUUGGAGAUUAUUGACGUUGAGACAGUUGACGUUGUUCGAGAAUAUUCUGUGCGGGAGGCGGUCCAAAUAAUAGCUUUUCCCUUGAAGUGUCGAAAAUACGGGAAAAUAGAUACUUUUCCCGAGAUCCAUUGCAAUACCUGGUCACGGCGUUCAGGUGGGGUGUUUUUAGCAAUUUUUCCCCAGUGCCCAAAAUGCUCAUGCAAUUCUCCGGCCACGAAGCUAUUCGGGUAUCGAAAAACCAAGUCUUCGACUCCCUUUUUUUCUACUAAGGUACUGGGUCCGGUAACUGUUUGCUCCAUCUGAGUGUCAGCAGCCAUCUCUCUGCUGGCUUGCAAGGGGUUUCCUUCAAUAUUAUCCACUGAUCCGUUCUUCUAUGAAUAAAUGGGGCAGAAAACCCCGUACCAGCCAGCAGAGAGGCGGCAGUCCUGACCCAAUAUCACCGGGAGGCUUUUUGUAGCCAUUUUUCAAAACUCCCAUCUCUCUGUGGCUUCAAAAAUCUGAGACUAUAUGAAAAAUUCUGAGACCAGUAAACCUUGGCUAAAUGGUGUUAAUGGUGUUAUACCCACCCAAACAAGACCAAAAAUAAUUUUUCUUUUAUUUUGUUUUGCUUUAUUAAUUAACACACGAUUGAAGUAAGUAUAUUAGAUACAUAUCAUCGUUCGGCGUUAAUCUGGAAGUCUGUGGGCCCUCUCUGGGGGAUUGGUAUGGGGUCCGGCGUUGCGCUCUCCCCCGCUCCAUACACCUAGAUAUGAAAUGCCCUGUCUUGUUGCAAUAGUAGCAUCGAGCCGCGCCAGGGCUCUAGUUACUCCUUGCCUGUUUUCUGGAUGGUCCUGUACGAAAAGAAUCCUAAACCUUUGCCAAUUGCGUUUCCCCAUUGCUUUCUCCACUUUGGCGACCGCACCGAAGGCCGCUUGAUGGUCUUUAUCACCAAGGAGCCUCAGCAUUAAAGAGCGGAAGUACUCUUUUGGGGUAAUCUUAACCCGAACCGUCUGGACUUCUCUCCUUCUUUGUCUCUUGCCACAUUCUGCAAUGUUUCUAGCAUUUCAAGAGCCUAAUGCUUGUUAAAUUCUGAGACCGGCCUUUGCGCGUAGUAGAUUGCUUUCCUCUUCAACGCUGAAGUCACUCAGCAAGUUCUGGAAGUCUUUCUUCAACUUCUUUAAAGAACAAUAAAGAUAGAUGUUAUGAACAUUGAAAAUACAAAAAAGAACGUUGAUUUAAAUUGAACGGAUUAGAUAGUUUAGACAAUUGUUUAGUUGAGUUACCACGGCUUCCUCUGUUUUGAGCACAGCCGCCCUUUCCUAUGAUUAGACUGAUAAGAUUUAUUGUAGUUUACGCAUUUCCCUUUGAGUAAGAGUUUAGGAAUGAGGCUCGUCCUACUUUAGGACACGUCCCACCUGCCUAUAAAUUAUAGUACCCAUUUAGCAAUCUUUAAGAGUUGAGCAGAGAAACCGAAGAGAGAAGAGUUGAGUUGAGAGCCAGAGAAGCAGAGUUAGAGAAGUCAGAGUAAAGUUUGAAGAGUUACAAGCUUACUUGGAGUUGUAUUUCUUUAAUCCCCGGAGACGAGAUCAGACUUAUCACCGCAUGUGUUCGAUAGUUGGACGAGUUGAUUGUAAUAAACGCUGUUAAAUCAA